GAUGAACGCUGGCGGCGUGCCUAAUACAUGCAAGUCGAGCGCACAGAUGAGGAGCUUGCUCCUCUGACGUUAGCGGCGGACGGGUGAGUAACACGUGGAUAACCUACCUAUAAGACUGGGAUAACUUCGGGAAACCGGAGCUAAUACCGCAUAAUAUAUUUAACCGCAUGGUUCAAUAGUGAAAGACGGUUUUGCUGUAACUUAUAGAUGGAUCCGCGCCGCAUUAGCUAGUUGGUAAGGUAACGGCUUACCAAGGCAACGAUGCGUAGCCGACCUGAGAGGUGGAUCGGCCACACUGGAACUGAGACACGGUCCAGACUCCUACGGGAGGCAGCAGUAGGGAAUCUUCCGCAAAGGGCGAAAGCCUGACGGAGCAACGCCGCGUGAGUGAUGAAGGUCUUCGGAUCGUAAAACUCGGUUAUUAGGGAAAAACAAAUGUGUAAGUAACUAUGCACGUCUUGACGGUACCUAAUCAGAAAGCCACGGCUAACUACGUG
rnacentral:rRNA from 1 species